rnacentral:rRNA from 1 species
GGAUCCAGUUGCGAGCUUGCUCAGACUGGUGAGAGUGGCGCACGGGUGCGUAACGCGUGAGCAACCUACCCAUAUCAGGGGGAUAGCCCGAAGAAAUUCGGAUUAACACCGCAUGACACAGCGACUCGGCAUCGAGAUGUUGUUAAAUAUUUAUAGGAUAUGGAUGGGCUCGCGUGACAUUAGCUAGUUGGUAAGGUAACGGCUUACCAAGGCUACGAUGUCUAGGGGCUCUGAGAGGAGAAUCCCCCACACUGGUACUGAGACACGGACCAGACUCCUACGGGAGGCAGCAGUAAGGAAUAUUGGUCAAUGGAGGGAACUCUGAACCAGCCAUGCCGCGUGCAGGAUGACUGCCCUAUGGGUUGUAAACUGCUUUUGUACGGGAAUAAACACUGGUACGUGUACCAGCUUGAAUGUACCGUAAGAAUAAGGAUCGGCUAACUCCGUGCCAGCAGCCGCGGUAAUACGGAGGAUCCGAGCGUUAUCCGGAUUUAUUGGGUUUAAAGGGUGCGUAGGCGGCUUAUUAAGUCAGGGGUGAAAGACGGCAGCUCAACUGUCGCAGUGCCUUUGAUACUGAUGAGCUUGAAUGUGAUUGAAGAUGGCGGAAUGAGACAAGUAGCGGUGAAAUGCAUAGAUAUGUCUCAGAACUCCAAUUGCGAAGGAGCUAUCUAAGUCAUGAUUGACGCUGAUGCA